UUUUUCAAAAACAUUGUCUUAUGUAUAAAAUAUUAGAUAAUACCUGCCCAGUGACACUACGUUCAACGGCCGCGGUAUCCUAACCGUGCAAAGGUAGCAUAAUCAUUUGCCUAUUAAUUGUAGGCUAGAAUGAAGGGGUUAACGAAAUAAAGGCUGUCUCAAUUAAUUAACUAAAAAUUAUUUUCUAUCUGAAGAAAGGUAGAUAAUCUCGAAGGACAAGAAGACCCUAUAGAGCUUAAUUUUAACUAUAGAAUUAUACUAUAUAAAUAUUCGGUUGGGGCGACCCAGGGCUAAUUAAUCACCCAUUAAAUAAAAGAUAAAUAAAUCUAAUAAAUGACCCUCUAAAGAUCAUAAAAACAAGCUACCUUAGGGAUAACAGGCUAAUCCCACUUAAGAGUUCUUAUCAAUAGUGGGGUUUGGCACCUCGAUGUUGGCUUAGGGUAUCUCUAUAGCGCAAAAGUUAUAUAAAGAUGGUUUGUUCAACCAAUAAUUCCCUACGUGAUCUGGUU
rnacentral:rRNA from 1 species